UACGUAGGGUGCAAGCGUUAAUCGGAAUUACUGGGCGUAAAGCGUGCGCAGGCGGUUUUGUAAGUCUGUCGUGAAAGCCCCGGGCUCAACCUGGGAAUUGCGAUGGAGACUGCAAGGCUUGAAUCUGGCAGAGGGGGGGUAGAAUUCCACGUGUAGCAGUGAAAUGCGUAGAGAUGUGGAGGAACACCGAUGGCGAAGGCAGCCCCUCGGUCGUAAGAUUGACGCUCAUGCACGAAAGCGUGGGGAGCAAACAGG
rnacentral:rRNA from 1 species